rnacentral:misc_RNA from 1 species
ACUGAACCGGAUGUACUGAUAAUAGGAAACUGCCUAGCUGUAUCGACAGAAAAGCUUAAAUUGGGAUUAAACACCGAACUUAAAAAUGGAACGUAUAGAAUAAGUCAAGCAAUGCGUAAAAAAUAUAAACGUGAAAUGGAUUACGUUUAUGCAAUAAUGAAUGAUUUAGAACGUAAAUUAGAAAGACCAAUUCGUGACUUAGACGACGUGAGAACUGUAAUGGAAACAUUAAAGAAAA